rnacentral:rRNA from 1 species
GGCGAACGCUGGCGGCGUGCUUAACACAUGCAAGUCGAGCGAGACCCCGCUUUCGGGUGGGUGUUCUAGCGGCGAACGGGUGAGUAACACGUGGGCAACCUGCCCUCAGCUCUGGGAUAACUCCAAGAAAUUGGGGCUAAUACCGGAUAUGACCGCUGACCGCAUGGUCUGGUGGUGGAAAGAUUUAUCGGCUGGGGAUGGGCCCGCGGCCUAUCAGCUUGUUGGUGGGGUAGUGGCCUACCAAGGCGACGACGGGUAGCCGGCCUGAGAGGGUGACCGGCCACACUGGGACUGAGACACGGCCCAGACUCCUACGGGAGGCAGCAGUGGGGAAUAUUGCGCAAUGGGCGAAAGCCUGACGCAGCGACGCCGCGUGGGGGAUGACGGCCUUCGGGUUGUAAACCUCUUUCAGCAGGGACGAAGCGAAAGUGACGGUACCUGCAGAAGAAGCACCGGCCAACUACGUGCCAGCAGCCGCCGUAA